GAUGAACGCUAGCUACAGGCUUAACACAUGCAAGUUGAGGGGUAACGAGAGGAAAGCUUGCUUUCCUUGUCGACGACCGGCGCACGGGUGAGUAACGCGUAUCCAACCUGCCCCCAACUAAGGAAUAACCUUGCGAAAGUAAGACUAAUACCUUAUAAUUUCCUCAGAUGUCAUCUGACGAGGAAUAAAGAUUUAUCGGUUGUGGAUGGGGAUGCGUCUGAUUAGCUUGUUGGCGGGGUAACGGCCCACCAAGGCAACGAUCAGUAGGGGUUCUGAGAGGAAGGUCCCCCACAUUGGAACUGAGACACGGUCCAAACUCCUACGGGAGGCAGCAGUGAGGAAUAUUGGUCAAUGGGCGAAAGCCUGAACCAGCCAAGUAGCGUGCAGGAUGACGGCCCUACGGGUUGUAAACUGCUUUUAUACAGGAAUAAAGUUAGCCACGUGUGGUUAUUUGUAGGUACUGUAUGAAUAAGGACCGGCUAAUUCCGUGCCAGCAGCCGCCGUAA
rnacentral:rRNA from 1 species